rnacentral:rRNA from 1 species
GAUGAACGCUGACAGAAUGCUUAACACAUGCAAGUCAACUUGAAUUUGGGUUUUUAACUUAGGUUUGGGUGGCGGACGGGUGAGUAACGCGUAAAGAACUUGCCUCACAGCUAGGGACAACAUUUGGAAACGAAUGCUAAUACCUAAUAUUAUGAUAAUAGGGCAUCCUAUAAUUAUGAAAGCUAUAAGCGCUGUGAGAGAGCUUUGCGUCCCAUUAGCUAGUUGGAGAGGUAACGGCUCACCAAGGCGAUGAUGGGUAGCCGGCCUGAGAGGGUGAUCGGCCACAAGGGGACUGAGACACGGCCCUUACUCCUACGGGAGGCAGCAGUGGGGAAUAUUGGACAAUGGACCAAGAGUCUGAUCCAGCAAUUCUGUGUGCACGAUGAAGUUUUUCGGAAUGUAAAGUGCUUCCAGUUGGGAAGAAAGAAAUGACGGUACCAACAGAAGAAGUGACGGCUAAAUACGUG